AUGAUAGGUUCUAUGCAGUACAAUUUUCAUUUGCCGCCGCCUUACUGUUUUCAAUGUGUGCAGCAAACUAGUGCAGUGGUUGAAGCUUCUCUUUGCUGGGAACGUCACAGAAUUUGGAUAAUUCAGCAUGGUACUGUACCCAGCUCACUAAUGGCAGAUUUGUUGCAGGAGAACUUGACUGAGAAGCCAAAGUACAAUGUUCAUAUUACAUCUAGUGAGGGUGAAUAUAAGCAGCUUCACACAUCAUUCCUUCCUUGGCGGACAAGCGUAGUCUGUGUUUCUCUCUGUUGCUCUGCUCAGUUUCAAUGGAAGGUAGCCUGGCUAUUCUAUCACCCGACUAAGUGCUGCCCAGUGGCACUACUUUGGCUGCCGAUGCGGGCAAACUAUUUCACUAAACUUCGGGUAUAUGCAGUCAGAAGGGAGGGUUGA
rnacentral:rRNA from 1 species